ACAUAUGUCGGCAAACUAGCCUGACGUGAAUGAAUUUCGUGCUCAUAACUACUGCUAAAAUUUUUAAGCAUAGCUGAGUGAAAAUCUUUAGAAGUGAAAUUUUUAUUCUUGGUUUAUACUCUAGUGACGUCCACGAUAUAACUAUGCCUCCUAAGUGUCCCCGUUGUGGAAAAAUUGUUUACUUCAACGAGUUUAAAAUGGCAAAUAACAUGCAGUGGCAUGACACGUGCUACACAUGCGUAAUCGAAGAUUGCAAGAGGCAACUUGAUCCUUCAAACAUGAGGACACAUGAAAAUGAGAUUUAUUGUAAGCACUGCUACUACAAGCUUAUUGUAAACGGUUUUCGGAGUGGAGUUCCAGAAAUUUGAUUUUCGUUAAAACUAGGGUAUUCUCCAGAAUUUCAACGGGAAAAUGAAGAAGCCAAUAAUCGUUUCCAACGAAAUUAUAUAACAGAAAAUAGUAUAUGACAGUAAUUAUAUAACAGAAAUAGUAUAUGACAGUAAUUAUGUAACAGAAAAUAGUAUAUGACAGUAAUUAUAUAACAGAAAAUGGUAUAUGACAGUAAUCAUAUAACAGAAA